UACAGAGGUCCCGAGCGUUGUUCGGAUUCACUGGGCGUAAAGGGUGCGUAGGUGGCUUGAAAAGUUUGAUGUGAAAGCUCAGGGCUUAACCCUGAAAUGGCAUUGAAUACUGUCGAGCUGGAGGUUUGGAGGGGGGACUGGAAUUCUUGGUGUAGCAGUGAAAUGCGUAGAUAUCAAGAGGAACACCAGUGGCGAAGGCGAGUCCCUAGACAACACCUGACACUGAGGCACGAAAGCUAGGGGAGCAAACAGG
rnacentral:rRNA from 1 species